AUACGGAGGGUGCAAGCGUUACUCGGAAUCACUGGGCGUAAAGCGCGCGCAGGCGGCUAUUUAAGUUGGAUGUGAAAGCCUACGGCUCAACCGUAGAACUGCAUCCAAAACUAUUUAGCUAGAGUGUGGGAGAGGAAGAUGGAAUUAGUUGUGUAGGGGUAAAAUCCGUAGAGAUAACUAGGAAUACCAAAAGCGAAGGCAAUCUUCUGGAACACUACUGACGCUGAGGCGCGAAAGCGUGGGGAGCAAACGGGAUUAGAAACCCCUGUAGUCC
rnacentral:rRNA from 1 species